AGAAGCAAGGUGGCUAAAAACUCAUGAAUGACUCAGCAGGACUUAGUUAAAAAAUGCUUCUUUCAGGUUUCUCGUUGCUUACACAAAGAAAGCCCCCCAGCUGACUUCAUCGGAGCUGAUGGCCAUCACCAGAAAAAUGGCAGCCACAGCAGCCACUUGUUGCCAACUCAGUGAGGACAAACUAUUGGCCUGUGGCGAGGGAGCGGCUGACAUUAUUAUUGGACACUUAUGUAUCAGACAUGAAACGACUCCAGUAAACCCUGGUGUUGGCCAGUGCUGCACUUCUUCAUAUGCCAACAGGAGGCCAUGCUUCAGCAGUUUGGUGGUGGAUGAAACAUAUGUCCCUCCUGCAUUCUCUGAUGACAAGUUCAUUUUCCAUAAGGAUCUGUGCCAAGCUCAGGGUGUAGCGCUGCAAACGAUGAAGCAAGAAUUUCUCAUUAACCUUGUGAAGCAAAAGCCACAAAUAACAGAGGAACAACUUGAGGCUGUCAUUGCAGAUUUCUCAGGCCUGUUGGAGAAAUGCUGCCAAGGCCAGGAACAGGAAGUCUGCUUUGCUGAAGAGGGACAAAAACUGAUUUCAAAAACUCGUGCUGCUUUGGGAGUUUAAAUUACUUCAGGGGAAGAGAAGACAAAACGAGUCUUUCAUUUGGUGUGAACUUUUCUCUUUAAUUUUAACUGAUUUAACAUUUUUUGUGAAUUAAUGAAAUGAUAAAGACUUUUAUGUGAGA
rnacentral:sRNA from 1 species